rnacentral:rRNA from 1 species
CAGCAGCCGCCGCGGUAAUACAGAGGGUGCGAGCGUUAAUCGGAUUUACUGGGCGUAAAGCGUGCGUAGGCGGCUUUUUAAGUCGGAUGUGAAAUCCCUGAGCUUAACUUAGGAAUUGCAUUCGAUACUGGGAAGCUAGAGUAUGGGAGAGGAUGGUAGAAUUCCAGGUGUAGCGGUGAAAUGCGUAGAGAUCUGGAGGAAUACCGAUGGCGAAGGCAGCCAUCUGGCCUAAUACUGACGCUGAGGUACGAAAGCAUGGGGAGCAAACAGGAUUAGAUACCCGCGUAGUCCCUGUCUCUUAUAC